CUUAACCACUCUUUUGUACGUGGGUACUACAGUAACCAAAAAACAGUAUGGCCUCAUUCGUACGUGGUAACUACAGUACCCAAAACGAAGAGUUUAAGAAAAUGCCAUCUAGUUCAAACUGACCUAAGAAAUAAACGUUUUUAUCGACGUAGAACGAUAGCUUACGAAAUAGUGUACCCAAUUAACAACAGAUGGCAAUGAAAUAUGAAGAAUUCUUUGUACAAAAAAAAAUUCCAAAGUCGGUUAAGUGGUACUUGUCAAUUUUGUCAACAAGCGUAUCGAGUGUCGGCAAUUAUUUUAUAUAAUGGUUUUUGUUGCGAUGUAUCGGGCGCGGUGCGCGAGGGUCUAGGCCGCGUGAGUAGAUGUACAGAUGAGAUAUAAACAGUCGUGCGGCCCGUGCAAAAGAGAGGUUAA